GAUGAACGCUGGCGGCGUGCCUAAUACAUGCAAGUCGAGCGAACGGACGAGAAGCUUGCUUUUCUGAUGUUAGCGGCGGACGGGUGAGUAACACGUGGAUAACCUACCUAUAAGACUGGGAUAACUUCGGGAAACCGGAGCUAAUACCGGAUAAUAUUUUUAACCGCAUGGUUCAAAAGUGAAAGACGGUCUUGCUGUCACUUAUAGAUGGAUCCGCGCUGCAUUAGCUAGUUGGUAAGGUAACGGCUUACCAAGGCAACGAUGCAUAGCCGACCUGAGAGGGUGAUCGGCCAAACUGGAACUGAGACACGGCCAAGACUCAUACGGGAGGCAGCAGUAAGGAAUAUUUAGCAAUGGGCGAAAGCCUGACGGAGAAACGCCGCGUGAGUGAUGAAGGUCUUCGGAUCGUAAAACUCUGUUAUUAGGGAAGAACAUAUGUGUAAGUAACUGUGCACAGCUUGAAGGUACCUAAUCAGAAAGCCACGGCUAAAUACGUG
rnacentral:rRNA from 1 species